AUUGAACGCUGGCGGCAGGCCUAACACAUGCAAGUCGAACGAGUGGCGGACGGGUGAGUACUGUCUGGGAAACUGCCUGCUGGCGGGGGAUAACUACUGGAAACGGUAGCUAAUACCGCAUACCAUCGGAUGUGCCCAGAUGGGAUUGGCUAGUAGGUGGGGUAAAGGCUCAACUAGGCGACGAUCCCUAGCUGGUCUGAGAGGAUGACCAGCCACACUGUAACUGAGACACGGGCCAGACUCCUACGGUAGGCAGCAGUGGGGAAUAUUGCACAAUGGGCGCGAGCCGGAUGCAGCCAUGCCGCGUGUAUGAAGAAGGCCUGCGGGUUGUAAAGUACUUUCAGCGGGGAGGCGUUACCCGCAGAAGAAGCACCGGCUAACUCCGUGCCAGCCGCCGCGGUAAUUC
rnacentral:rRNA from 1 species